rnacentral:siRNA from 1 species
ACAAAAUAAAUCGUUCCGCGGUA